rnacentral:rRNA from 1 species
CUAAGUUUGAUGGCGACCGGCGCACGGGUGAGUAACACGUAUCCAACCUGCCGAUGACUCGGGGAUAGCCUUUCGAAAGAAAGAUUAAUACCCGAUGGCAUAGUUCUUCCGCAUGGUAGAACUAUUAAAGAAUUUCGGUCAUCGAUGGGGAUGCGUUCCAUUAGGCUGUUGGCGGGGUAACGGCCCACCAAGCCUUCGAUGGAUAGGGGUUCUGAGAGGAAGGUCCCCCACAUUGGAACUGAGACACGGUCCAAACUCCUACGGGAGGCAGCAUG